GAGUCAGUGAGUGACCAGUGACUGGCUGCUGCAGCCAAUGAUGGGAUUCACAUACGUAUUUACCAUAGACUGUAUAUAAUGGUAUUUACGCAGCUAAUCAACGUCAUUGACAGGCGUCCUUAUGUGCAGCCAUCGUUGUUGUCAUAGAUAUGAAUGAGUAGAUAGGACACGCCCCUUUGAGCUGCGGCUACUGCGAGGCUAAGCUAGUGGGAGCAAAGUUUCAGUGCAUUCCGUUGAUGUAGACGGCGUGAAAACGGAAACAAGAAGUAUGCCGGCUCACUGUGCUGCAUACAAUUACACACUACGUCAUACGAUUGAGACAAGGAAACUUGGAAUGACUUUUCAUAGGUUUCCCAGAGACUAUGGGUUGAGGAGGAAUUGGAAGUUUGUCAGCUUAGACCUGGUGUCAUUCCAUCAGUGUUAAACUUCCCGGCUCAUCUUGGAAGAGUACGUGCCAGAAAGACCACGACCAAGCAGCCUUGAGAUCUUAGGCAGCGUCUCCCUGAGGUCCCUCUCUAUCUCCCCACACAUCCACCAACCACUGGAACACAUCUCCAAAGUUCUGCUGGGCCAGGUCAACUUCUCCUCAGAAGAAGUGCCGCCACCUGCCAGAUGAAGGAGCCUUUUGAGAGGCAGCUGGCAUCGUGAUUGGACUGUACUUUGGUCUGUUCCAAUCCAGCUUCAGCUCCAGAGACGGCAGGCGGGACGAGUCAACGGAGGCCUGGUGGACGAAGGCAUGCAGCUGAGUACAAUCCAGAAAACAACAGAGGAGGAGUGCAGGGCCAGAACAAAGAGAGUAGCAUCACCAAAGAACUACAGACUCUUCACAACCUGCUCAAACUCUUGUACAGGACCUCACCACACGGGUAAAGAAGGUUUCUGUCUCAUUUCUACUCUGAAGAUCACCUUCUCCUGCUCAAACUGCUGACAAAUGUUUCUGCUGCUCUAAAGUCUGGUCUCCAGAACUUCCUAAAAACUCUCAAAGUCUCUUCUGCUGCAGGUUGCUUUGUAGAACUGUUCCAGAAAACCUCACUAAACCACAUGGAGGGGCCUCAAGAUAGUUGUCCAAAUGAAACCGUACAAAAACCAAACUAGUACAACCCAAACGCUAAAGUCUCCUGCAGCCUACCAGAGAACCUCUGAGAACAGAGAAUCAGGACAGGAACUCUUACCUUCUGGACAACCAACGUUGGUUCACAAACAAGAAUACACAAUGUGUCUGACCAAAAACCUCUGAAGACUCACUACAGCCAAGAUAAAGACACAACUCAGCUGCAGCAAAUCCACUAAUCACUGCACACAUUAGCACCAUGUGAUAACUGUGGCUAAAGAACCACAUUUACCAAGACAGCUAUCCAGUACAAAGCCCUAAAACACACCAAGAAACACAUUAAAGCCUAUUUUACUGCUGGAAGCUGCAAGCCAACGCCUAAAGAACAACCUAAAGCGACGGAGCCAAACCCGGUUCACUGGUGAAGAGAAGAAGAGGAAAUGUUUGUCUGCAGCUAAAUAAAGCAGGAAGACACUGAGCUGCUCAGGUGUUCCUGAUAACACCAAGCAGCCACCUGGACAGCCAAUAGGAACACAUCUUACUGGAAGUCCAGAGGGCUGGGUUAGUGAAGGAAAUUUAGUUUAAAGUUGAAGCAGAAAGUUAACAAAGAAAGUUGAAAACCACCUUCUGAUACCUGAAAUCUCUGAGUUUUCACACAAAGAACACCUGAACAUGUCAAACUGGUUCCAUAGUAGAACCAUCAUUGUAAAAACGUCAUAGUAUGGUGUGUUGCUCAAAAAACAUUAGGACCCGGCUGUCAGGGGACAAACAUGUAAGAAACAUGAGAACAGAGAGAACCCAACCAGUAGGUCACAGUUUAUCAUCCCCCAGUCAUCUCCUGAAGUCCAUAUGGUGAGAGACAUCAGUAUCUGGUUGUUCAUUUACCAGAGGAUGCUUAUAAUCAUGCUGAUGUGGUCUGUACUCUACAGUAUUUUAGUGACUCAAUAAAUGCC
ensembl:lncRNA